GAUAAAAAUUUGUGAUUUUUAGAAUUUAUUUUAAAUUUAUUUUACAUAUAAAUUUUAGUGUUAAUUUUUUUUUAUUUUAAUAAUUUAAUAAUUUAUUUUGUAGUAAUUAAAAUUAAAAAUUUAAGAAAUUAAGAUUUAGUAAUAUUAAAAUUAUUAACAAAUUUUGUGCCAGCAGUUGCGGUUAUACAAAAAUUUAGUUAAAUUUUUUCAGUUAUAAUUAAUAAUAAUAAUUUAAAUUAAAUAUUAAAUUAUUAAGUGAAAUUUUAAUUUAAUUAAAAUUUAUUUAUUUUAUAUGAUUUAAUAAAUUUUAUAAAUAAACUAGGAUUAGAUACCCUAUUAUAAAAAAAAAUAUAAUACUAAAAUAGUAAAUAAAUUAUUAUUGAAACUUAAGUAAUUUGGCGGUAUUUUAGUUCAUUUAGAGGAAUCUGUUUAUUAAUUGAUAAUCCACGAAUAAAUUUACUUAAUUUAAUAUUUUGUAUAUCGUUGUUAAAAAAAUAUUUUUAGAUGAUAAUAAUAUUUAAAAUUUUUUAUUAUAAAUUAAUUCAGAUCAAGAUGCAGAUUAUAGUUAAGAUUAUAAUGGAUUACAAUAAAAUUAUUUAAAUGGAUAUUGUUUUGAAAUAUUUAAUUAAAGGUGGAUUUAAAUGUAAUUUUAUUUAAUUUAAUAAAGUGAUUAAAAAUUAAAAUAUGUACAUAUUGCCCGUCGCUUUCAUUUAAAAAUUGGAAUAAGUCGUAACAAAGUAGAGGUACUGGAAAGUGUUUCUAGAAAGA
rnacentral:ncRNA from 1 species